CCUACGGGUGGCAGCAGUGAGGAAUAUUGGUCAAUGGGCGAGAGCCUGAACCAGCCAAGUCGCGUGAGGGAAGAAGGUACUGCGUAUUGUAAACCUCUUUUGUCAGGGAACAAAUGCGGGGACUAGUCCCCGGAUGAGGGUAGCUGACGAAAAAGGAUCGGCUAACUCCGUGCCAGCAGCCGCGGUAAUACGGAGGAUGCGAGCGUUAUCCGGAUUUAUUGGGUUUAAAGGGUGCGUAGGCGGCUUGGUAAGUUAGGGGGGAAAUCCCGGGGCUCAACUCCGGCGGGGCGGUUGAACCUGGCGGGCUAGAGUUGAGGAGAGGUACGCGGAAUGCACGGUGUAGCGGUGAAAUGCAUAGAGAUCGCGCAGAACACCGAUUGCGAAGGCAGCGUACCGGCCCAACACUGACGCUGAGGCACGAAAGCGUGGGGAGCGAACAGGAUUAGAUACCCGAGUAGUC
rnacentral:rRNA from 1 species